GCUAGGUGUGGUGGUGCUUGCCUGUAAUCCCAGUGCUUGGGAGGUUGAGGGAGGAGGAUCAUGAGUUCAAAGCCAUUUUUAGCAAAAGCAAGGCAUUAAGCAACUCAGUGAGACCCUAUCUCUA
rnacentral:sRNA from 1 species